GUAUUCAUAUUUAAGACAAACAUUUUAUUCCCUUUUAAAGACAAUGUGGCUAUUUAGCGUCCCUCGAAAUGUCUGGGAUGAUGUCCAAAAUGUGAAAAUGGAAGUUGUUUGCGUAAAUGUUGGUUGCUGUCGAUUAAACCAAUAUUGCUUUGUGGUAUGUUU